rnacentral:rRNA from 1 species
UACAGAGGGGGCAAGCGUUGUUCGGAAUUACUGGGCGUAAAGGGCGCGUAGGCGGCCGCCUAAGUCGGACGUGAAAUCCCUCGGCUUAACCGGGGAACUGCGUCUGAUACUGGAUGGCUUGAGUUCGGGAGAGGGAUGCGGAAUUCCAGGUGUAGCGGUGAAAUGCGUAGAUAUCUGGAGGAACACCUGUGGCGAAGGCGGCCACCUGGUUGGAUACUGACGCUGAGACGCGAAAGCGUGGGGAGCAAACAGG